GUUUGUUUGGAGUUAUAAAGAAUUUGACCUGCCCCCUGAUUAACAAUUAAAGGGCCGCAGUAUUAUAACUGUGCAAAGGUAGCAUAAUCAUUAGGUUUUUAAUUGGAAUCUUGCAUGAAUGGUUGGACAAAAGAAAGACUCUCUUUAUAUUAAAUUUUGAAUUUAACUUUUAAGUGAAAAGGCUUAAAUAUUCUAAAGGGACGAUAAGACCCUAUAAAACUUUACAUUGUGAUUAAUUUUAGUUGAAUUUGUAAAAUAAGAAUUUUAUUUGGUUAUUUGUUAUGUUGGGGAGACAUAAGUAAAAUAGUAUUUUAACUGCUUAAUAAUUAUACAAUUAUUAGUGAGUAAUAGAAGAUCCUUUUU
rnacentral:rRNA from 1 species